AUUGAACGCUGGCGGCAUGCUUUACACAUGCAAGUCGAACGGUAACAGGGAGUUUGCUCCGCUGACGAGUGGCGAACGGGUGAGUAAUACAUCGGAACGUGCCCGAGAGUGGGGGAUAACGAGGCGAAAGCUUUGCUAAUACCGCAUACGAUCUCAGGAUGAAAGCAGGGGACCGCAAGGCCUUGCGCUCACGGAGCGGCCGAUGGCAGAUUAGGUAGUUGGUGGGAUAAAAGCUUACCAAGCCGACGAUCUGUAGCUGGUCUGAGAGGACGACCAGCCACACUGGGGCUGAGACACGGCCCAGGCUCCUACGGGAGGCAGCAGUGGGGAAUUUUGGACAAUGGGCGCAAGCCUGAUCCAGCCAUGCCGCGUGCAGGAUGAAGGCCUUCGGGUUGUAAACUGCUUUUGUACGGAACGAAAAGACUCUGGUUAAUACCUGGGGUCCAUGACGGUACCGUAAGAAUAAGCACCGGCUAACUACGUGCCAGCAGCCGCAGUAACAC
rnacentral:rRNA from 1 species